GACGAACCGAGCGAACGUUAUUCGGAAUCACUGGACUUAAAGGGUGCGUAGGCGGGCUGUCAAGUCUGGGGUGAAAUCCCACGGCUCAACCGUGGAACCGCUGGGUAUACUGGUUGUCUUGAGCCGGCUAGGGGCGAGCGGAACAGACGGUGGAGCGGUGAAAUGCGUAGAUAUCAUUUGGAACGCCAAUGGUGAAAACAACUCGCUGGGGGUGUGCUGACGCUGAGACACGAAAGCGUGGGUAGCAAACAGG
rnacentral:rRNA from 1 species